rnacentral:rRNA from 1 species
UACGAAGGGGGCUAGCGUUGCUCGGAAUCACUGGGCGUAAAGGGUGCGUAGGCGGGUUUUUAAGUCAGGGGUGAAAUCCUGGAGCUCAACUCCAGAUCUGCCUUUGAUACUGAAGAUCUUGAGUCCGGGAGAGGUGAGUGGAACUGCGAGUGUAGAGGUGAAAUUCGUAGAUAUUCGCAAGAACACCAGUGGCGAAGGCGGCUCACUGGCCCGGUACUGACGCUGAGGCACGAAAGCUAGGGGAGCGAACGGG